rnacentral:rRNA from 1 species
AUGCCAGGAAAUUCUUUCUACUGUGCACCACAUCAAGUUGAACUAGAACCAUUAGAAGACAACUCAGUACUCACUGAUUCACAUCCCUACAAACGAACACUUGUACAAAAUAAUGAAAAGAAUGAACUCCCAUCUAGUCAACUCUCUCAACCAGUAGAUGACACACCCAGUUUUAAUGCAAUAACCGAUGGACUGCAAGAUACAAUCCAACCCUGUAUGACUGCUUAUCAAACAAGCACAUAUAAUCAUCUGGGUUCUUCAUCCCAACUUGUCAAACCUGCUACUCAUUCAAACCCUAGAUUCUUCAAUCCUGGAACUUCAUUCCUGUAUAGCAAUAGUCCACUUAGACCUUUCAAGAUUAACUCUCCAAAGCCAGACAUUACUUUCGGAACUCCACUUAACAAUACAGCGUUGGUCAAAAUGAUGGAUGAAUUUGAAGCUAAAUUCAGACAGAAUGAAAUACAUGCAGGAAAGAAACAGUUUCAACAUUUCUCUUCUGCCACAAAUGUUCAGCAGCCCAACUAUUUGCAGUUUCAACAAGUUAUCUUCUCAAGUCCAGUGCAAAUUGAAUUCUACAAGGCAAUGACUGCAGCUCUUCCAACUCUGGACUCAAGGUAUUUUUUCAUAGUAUAUUUCACUAUGCUGUAA